rnacentral:tRNA from 1 species
AUUUAUAUAAUAUAAUAAGUAUAAUUAAUUUCCAAUUAAAAAGUUUAAAAAUUAAUAUAAAUA